rnacentral:lncRNA from 1 species
AUACAGAAAGACAAGUCUCACUCCUAUGGACUGGGUAGGGAUCCUUAACCCUGUGCAGAGGCAGGACUGAUGGACAUACUGGAGAACAGAACCCCCUGGAGAGCCAUAUGGGCCAUUUUGGAGUCCAAGAAAAGACAGCUCAGACAGAAGAAAUUCAUCAACACACUUUGGAA